UAGUCCACGCCGUAAACGAUGUCAACUAGCCGUUGGGCUCUUUAAGGGCUUAGUGGCGCAGCUAACGCGGUAAGUUGACCGCCUGGGGAGUACGCCGGCAACGGUAAAACUCAAAGAAAUUGACGGGGGCCCGCACAAGCGGUGGAGCAUGUGGUUUAAUUCGAUGCAACGCGAAGAACCUUACCACCCCUUGACAUCCUGCGAACUUUCUAGAGAUAGAUUGGUGCCUUCGGGAACGCAGUGACAGGUGCUGCAUGGCUGUCGUCAGCUCGUGUCGUGAGAUGUUGGGUUAAGUCCCGUAACGAGCGCAACCCUUGUCCUUAUUUGCCAGCACAUUAUGGUGGGAACUCUAAGGAGACUGACGGUGACAAACCGUAGGAAGGUGGGGACGACGUCAAGUCAUCAUGGCCCUUACGGGGGUGGGGCUACAAACGUGCUACAAUGGGGAAGUACAAAGGGGCUGCGAACUGGGCAACAGUGAGCGAAUCCCAAAAAACUUCU
rnacentral:rRNA from 1 species